rnacentral:rRNA from 1 species
CUACGGGCGGCUGCAGUGGGGAAUAUUGCACAAUGGGCGAAAGCCUGAUGCAGCAACGCCGCGUGGAGGAUGACACAUUUCGGUGCGUAAACUCCUUUUAUAUAAGAAGAUAAUGACGGUAUUAUAUGAAUAAGCACCGGCUAACUCCGUGCCAGCAGCCGCGGUAAUACGGGGGGUGCAAGCGUUACUCGGAAUCACUGGGCGUAAAGAGCAUGUAGGCUGGAUGACAAGUUGGAAGUGAAAUCCUAUGGCUUAACCAUAGAACUGCUUCCAAAACUGUCUUCCUAGAGUAUGGGAGAGGUAGAUGGAAUUUCUGGUGUAGGGGUAAUAUCCGUAGAGAUCAGAAGGAAUACCGAUUGCGAAGGCGAUCUACUGGAACAUUACUGACGCUCAGAUGCGAAAGCGUGGGGAGCAAACAGGAUUAGAUACCCCAGUAGUC